rnacentral:rRNA from 1 species
UACGGGGGGAGCAAGCGUUGUUCGGAUUUACUGGGCGUAAAGGGCGCGUAGGCGGCGUGACAAGUCACUUGUGAAAUCUCCGGGCUUAACUCGGAACGGUCAAGUGAUACUGUCGUGCUAGAGUACAGAAGGGGCAACUGGAAUUCCUGGUGUAGCGGUGAAAUGCGCAGAUAUCAGGAGGAACACCAAUGGCGAAGGCAGCUCGCUGGAACGGAACUGACGCUGAGGCGCGAAAGCGUGGGGAGCGAACAGG